GGGCGUCGCGGGCUCCGAGCCAAGGCAAAAGCGGUGGUUCUCUCCGAGGUUCGGGGCUUCGGUACCGGAAAGCGGUCUCAGGAAUUAGAACCCGCAGCCUAAAUGUGGAAGAUGAACAAUGGCGCUGGGGCUCUUCGGUGUGUGUGAGCAGUUCUGUGUAGAUGCUGAGGUGCAGGAGAAAAUUCCAAAACAUCUGGAAGAUACUUAAUGGAAAAUUACUUGGAUAAAGGCUGACCGACUACCAGUUGCCUGGAUGUUGCUGAAUGCUAAUGAAGCUAUAGAUGUAACAGCCAUGCCACUUCAUUUUGAUUGCGGGUCGCUGUCUUCCUAUUGAAAGGACAGCUUGCUGAAAAGUGCAGGCAUUUCUGGCUAAUCUUGGAAGCUUAUCUGUAUGAAAAGCUAUUGAAGAUAAACAUCCAGAAAGAAAAGGUGGACAAGAAAAGAAAAAAAGUUUUGGAUUGUACUUUUUAUGGGCUUUUUGUUUCCUUUGUAAACAGACUGAAACAGUGGGGUUUUCUUAAUGAAAGGUUAUCUUCAGCUAACCAGCCCUGUAAACAAAUAUUCUGAAUAUGAAUAUUUCAUAUUUAGUCACCUGUUUGUCUUUAAAAUACUUGUAAUUAAGUAUUAAAAUAAUAUUGAGUUAAAUUUAUAAUGACGUGGGAAAAUCUUUUGUGGGAUGUUAUUGGAAAAAUGGCUGUUUGCUCAUCACAGGAUUAAGAUGGAACACCUUUGGCUUCAUGCUGGGCACUUGUAUUCCAAAACUGAAUGAAGUAAGAGUAAAGUGGAAAUAAAAGAAUUAUUUGG